rnacentral:rRNA from 1 species
CCCUUAGAUGUUCUGGGCCGCACGCGCGCUAUACUGAUGAACGCAACGAGACCACCUGUACCGAAAGGCAUGGGUAAACUUGUGAAAGUUCAUCGUGAUGGGGAUAGAUUAUUGCAAUUAUUAAUCUUCAACGAGGAAUUCCUAGUAAGCGCGAGUCAUCAGCUCGCGUUGAUUACGUCCCUGCCCUUUGUACACACCGCCCGUCGCUCCUACCGAUUGAAUGGUCCGGUGAAAUCUUCGGAUUGCUGGAUAGGACUUCAUUGACCUAUCUGCGAGAAGUUGCUUGAACCUUAUCAUUUAGAGGAAGGAGAAGUCGUAACA